rnacentral:lncRNA from 1 species
CACCCCGCCACUCCUGAGCACCGCACACCGGCUUCCUCCCAGUCCCUCAUCUGAGAACUCAUGAAGCCACUUGGAAUCCCUCUCUGCUUUGCCUGGCUCAUUCCAUGUCAAUUUCAGAUCUUCACUUCAGGUCAGCUCCAAGGAGGCUAUCCUUGCCCAUCUUCCUAAAAUAGAGCUCUCAAAACCUGGCUGUUUUCCUUCAGAGCACUGGCCUCCAAUUAUAAGAGCUUUGAGGAAGCCAGAAUGCAGGAAUGUGAUAGAAAGUGGCUGGCAAGAGGGAGCUGAGGCUGGUGGGUCCAAGAAGUCCUCUCCAGGGAGAUGACAUUUGAGCAGUGAUCUGGACAAUGAAAAAGCGCUGACUGCACCUCCAGGUGAGAAGAACUUACUGGGCUGAGGAGAAAGCAAGCCAUCAAAAACCCCAAGGAGGGAGUUUGGUGUGUUCAGAGAACUGGAAGGAGGGAACGCCAUGAAAGAGAGGCCAGUAGCAUGUGCGGGGCAGAGAGGGAGCCGGCUUCUUAGCCCGUGGAGAGAGAAAGCAGGAACUAAAGCCAGC